UGUCCCAUGUUGCCAGCCAUUAAGUUGGGGACUCAUGGGAGACUGCCGGCGUCAAGCCGGAGGAAGGUGGGAUGACGUCAAGUCAUCAUGCCCCUUAUGACCUGGGCUACACACGUGCUACAAUGGUUGGUACAACGAGUUGCGAGUCGGUGACGGCGAGCUAAUCUCUUAAAGCCAAUCUCAGUUCGGAUUGCACUCUGCAACUCGAGUGCAUGAAGUUGGAAUCGCUAGUAAUCGCGGAUCAGCAUGCCGCGGUGAAUACCGGUUCCCGGGCCUU
rnacentral:rRNA from 1 species